UCAAUACUUACUAAAGGCUGGGCUAAAAAGAUAUGUUUACAGGGCUCUUUUAAAGGCUGCUAAAACUUGUAAGCCUCUAAAAUCCACAGGGAGUGCAUUCCAGAGCCCUGGAGCAGCUACAGAGAAAAUCUGAUCCCGAGUUGCCACCAGGCAAGCUGACAGCAACCAGAGACAGACCACUCCUGAUGACCUUAAAGUGCAGAGGGGAUCAUACUGAAGAAGGUGCUCUCCCAGGUCAGCAUACAUCAGAACUGGGCUGCAAGGGUCCAGAAGCUCCUGAAGCAAGGCUUACUAAUUACAGGAUCACUUUUAUUCAGCUGUAGUGCUCAAGUUAUGGAAUGGUCUUCCUAAAGAAGUCCAGGUGGGCCCCCUCGCCACCCAUAUCCAGAAGACCAGUGAAGACUAUAUUGUUUAGGAGACCUGUGCUGCAGCUGUCCUGGAUAAAGUGAACCAUACACAGCAUGACUGAUUCCACACACCAUUGCACAUACCUGGUAUGGGGGAGGGUUUAUUUAUAGGAAACUGAGCCCUGGACUGCCCUGGUGGCUGGAUCAGCACAUGGGGCACAGCUGAGAUGUGUGCAAGGAGUGAUGGGAAGUGUAAUUCCUUCAAGCCCUUUCCCCAAGAACAUUAUGGAGAAAGCUCUCGGAGGAACUCCCCCUCCCCCAAUGCCCACUGCACACACCUCCCAUCACGAUCCAUAUGCUGCCUCAGCCACUGCCGAGGUAGUACAGGACUCAGCUUCCUGUAAACUCCCCUCCACACUGGAACUACAAGGAACUGCACAGAGACCGACACAAUGCAAGCAGCCACCUCUGCAUGCCACCAACAGAACAAUGCACUUUAUUUAGAUUUGGAGUGCCCAAAGCACAAGCCUAGUGUUUAGAUUAUUUAGAUCUUUUAAAGUGGCCUCUUUGGAAUUUGCUGUAUUCUGUGUGAGUAUGUGCAUGUGUCUAAUGCUGUUGGCUUUAUUUGAAUGUAAGCUACUCUGAGCACAUUUCUAUGCAAAAAGGUGGGGUAUACAUUAUUAAACUAAAUGAUUACUGUCCUUAAUUCUUGGUUCCAUGAUUCAAGAAGCAUUUUAGAAAACUGAACAGAUUUUCUAAAAGAACUUCUUAAGAGGGUCUAAAAGAUGAAAGAGGCAUAUCAUGUGGAGAGUGUCUGCAAAAGAAUGGGUAGAAAAAAGUUUAAACAGGAAACAGUAAAGUUUUAAAAUAUUUUAAAAGCAUCCAUUUAAAAUCCAUUACCCAGUGUUAAAUCAGGAGAAAAAAGAUUACUGACUCAAUUCCAAAUUGGUUGCUGCUAUCAGGUUAUGAAAGAGAUGCUUCAGAUCUUCCCCAGAAGAUGUAGAAGUGCUGGAUAAACACCCUGAGACACAAGUCCUGAUGUAGGUACUUCUACUCCAUCAGAUCAAUCAUUGUUGAUAACGCGUUGUAGCAAUUUAUUUAUUAUCAGAACUCGCAUCACAACUCUAAGUCUCCUCCUUAACUAGGAUCAGUGACUCAAGCAGAAAUUGAGGGAGUGACCCCUUCUUAGGGCAGUCAUUCUUAUUCUCUAAAGUAAUCCUUUUCAGCUGUAAAAAUAAAGUGUCUGAUCAAACUGAUUUCAGGGGGGGGGGAAAUGUUUGCAUUGAUCAGACCCAUAGAGGGGUCUGAUAGGCCUGGCCCCCUUAAUUUUUUUCCUGCCCCAUUACAACAAAUAAAUAAUUUUUAAACUGCUGUGUUGUAAUGGAGAGCAACUAAGGUAGCAAAACCCGCCCCCCACCCUACUAUUUUUUUGGUGCCCCCAAUCUGCUCCAGACCUUUAGGCUGGCUAUGGGUCUGGUAUUGGCUAUCAAAAGUUUGCAGAAGUUCCAUUAGAAAUGGCUGUUCUAAGGUUUUAUUAACUGAAAUCAUAAAUAGAGUGCUCUGUUGUAAGUUACAAAGCAAUGCAAGAUAUAUUGCCUACCAUACAACACACCUUAAAACAGAGAGACUUCACUUUUAUGGAGAGGGGCAGAUAGAAGAAGCCUUCAUGCUUUGGCUCAGCUUCCCUCAUUUGCCUGUAGGCGUGAAUUCAGAAACUGCAAAUAAAGUCUUACCCCUAUGGGAACUCCUAAACACACAAAAAAGGCUAAAAAUCAGGAGUGGGGGGGGAGCAUAAAUAAGAGAAAUAAAGCACUCUAUCUUGCUCUCCAGGUCUCCAGCUCUGCAGCAAUGCCCCUCAAACUCCCAAUACCUCCAAUUUUAGCAAAAAAUCAUGAGGAAUUUUUUAAAAGAGCCACAAAAUGGCUCUAUGUUGCCUCCAGACCAGAAGUGACUCCGGAAAUGAUUCCAGAAGUCAUUUCUGGUUGGCCUGAAACUGCAGAUAGGCAAAAAUAGCCUAUUUUUGCAUUAGUGGGUAUGGAAACUAGGUCUCUAGGACCUCAUCUCAGAUACACGAAGCCAUGUUCACUGGAACUGCAGAUAACAAGGGCCACCUGUAACCACCAAGUACACAUCUGAUUAAGGCCAUUACAAAAAGCCAUGCUCACUGAUCAA